AUUGAACGCUGGCGGCAUGCUUUACACAUGCAAGUCGAACGGUAACAGGUUAAGCUGACGAGUGGCGAACGGGUGAGUAAUGUAUCGGAACGUGCCCAGUCGUGGGGGAUAACGUAGCGAAAGCUACGCUAAUACCGCAUACGACCUCUGGAUGAAAGCGGGGGACCGCAAGGCCUCGCGCGAUUGGAGCGGCCGAUAUCAGAUUAGGUAGUUGGUGGGGUAAAGGCCCACCAAGCCAACGAUCUGUAGCUGGUCUGAGAGGACGACCAGCCACACUGGGACUGAGACACGGCCCAGACUCCUACGGGAGGCAGCAGUGGGGAAUUUUGGACAAUGGGGGCAACCCUGAUCCAGCAAUGCCGCGUGCAGGAAGAAGGCCUUCGGGUUGUAAACUGCUUUUGUACGGAACGAAAAGGCUCUGGUUAAUACCUGGGGCUCAUGACGGUACCGUAAGAAUAAGCACCGGCUAACUACGUGCCAGCCGCCGCAGUAA
rnacentral:rRNA from 1 species